AUAUAAUCGUUUUUAUAGGAAAUUCUUGAAAAUACACCGGGUGUGUUAAUCUGCUGCUGUAAAUACACCGGAUUAAAUUCAAUAACACCUUGAAGAAGUUCGGAACUUGAUUCACUCGUCAUUCCAUAGUGUAAAUCGGUCAGUUUACUGUAAACAACGAACCCGGUAAACACAUCACUCAUUAAAUGACUCAGAUUUCGUAAAAUAUGACGUAUAGAAAAAAAACAUUAUUUAAGUAUAUAUUAUAAUAUAGAAGUUGAUUUAGUUACGCUACUUAAGAAUUAAAGUUGUCCAUGGUGAAGGCGAUUAUUAGAAUCGGCUGAAAAAAUUAUAAUACCUACUUUUCAUAACAUUUGUGAUAAAUUUAAUGUUUUUCUUUUUUUAUUUAAAUUACUC